rnacentral:rRNA from 1 species
GACGAACGCUGGCGGCGUGCUUAACACAUGCAAGUCGAACGGAAAGGCCCUUCUUUUGGUGGUUGCGCGGGGAGCGAACGGGUGAGUAACACGUAACUAACCUUCCCUUGACUGUUGGAUAACGUCAGCAAACUCGGAUUAAUACCGGAUAUGAUCUCCGGCUGCAUGGUGUGGGUUGGAAUGUUUCGGCUGUUUGGGAUGGACUCGCGGCUUAUCAGCUUGUUGGUGGGUGAGUGGCUUACCAUGUCUUUGGCGGGUAGCCGGCCCGAGGGGGUGACCGGCAAAAUUGGGACUGAGAUAGGGCCAAGCCUCCUCCGGGAGGAAGAGGUGGGGAAUAUGGACAAAUGGGCGGAAGCCGGAUGCAGAACCGCCGCGUGCGGGAUGCAGGCCUUCGGUCUGUAACCGGCUUUCGCAUGUGACGAAGUUUUAGUGACGGUAACGGCUAAAGAAGCACCGGCUAACUACGUG